rnacentral:ncRNA from 1 species
CUAACACGUGCGCGAGUCCGGGGCUCGCAUGAAAGCUGCCAUGGCGCAAUGAAGGUGAAGGCCCGUCAGGGCCGAGGUGGGAUCCCGAGGCCUCUCCAGUCUGCCGAGGGCGCACCACCCGCCCUUCUCGCCCGCCUUGCCGCAGAGGUGGAGCAUGAGCGCACGUGUUAGGACCCGAAAGAUGGUAAACUAUGCCUGGGCAGGGAGAAGCCACAGGAAAAUCUGGUGGUGGUCUGUAGCGGUCCUGAUGUGCAAAUCCGUCGUCUGACCUGGGUAUAGGGGUGAAAGACUAAUCGGACCAUCUAGUAGCUGG